AUCCUACGGGGGGCAGCAGUGGGGGAUAUUGGACAAUGGGGGAAACCCUGAUCCAGCGACGCCGCGUGAGUGAAGAAGUAUUUCGGUAUGUAAAGCUCUAUCAGCAGGGAAGAAAGAAAUGACGGUACCUGAGUAAGAAGCCCCGGCUAACUACGUGCCAGCAGCCGCGGUAAUACGUAGGGGGCAAGCGUUAUCCGGAAUUACUGGGUGUAAAGGGAGCGUAGACGGUAAUGCAGGUCUGGAGUGAAAGGCGGGGGCCCAACCCCCGGACGGCCCUGGAAAAGG
rnacentral:rRNA from 1 species